rnacentral:snRNA from 1 species
AUCCAUGCCAUGUUACUGUAUCAUAGCCAAUGAGGUUAAUCCGAGGCGUGAUCAUUACUAGUUGAAAAUCUUUCUAGAAUUUUAAUCAAAAUGUCAUGUGGUACCAGAUCAAACGCCUUACAGAAAUCUCUGUAUAUUAUUACAUCAG